rnacentral:rRNA from 1 species
UAAGUAGGGGGCAAGCGUUGUCCGGAGUUACUGGGUGUAAAGGGCGCGCAGGCGGGAUAAAAAGUCAGUGGUGAAAUCCUACAGCUUAACUGUAGAACUGCCUUUGAUACAUUUAUUAUUGAGUUCGGGAGAGAGAGACGGAAUUCCAGGUGGAGUGGUGAAAUACGGAGAUAUCUGUAAGAACACCAGUUGCGAAGGCGGUCUCUUGGUCCGAUACUGACGCUGAGGCGCGGAAGUGGGGGGAGCAAACAGG